rnacentral:rRNA from 1 species
UACGCGUAAAGAACUUGCCUCUUAGACCGGGACAACAUCUGGAAACGGAUGCUAAUACCGGAUAUUAUGGUUUCUUCGCAUGGAGGAAUCAUGAAAGCUACAUGCGCUAAGAGAGAGCUUUGCGUCCCAUUAGCUCGUUGGUGAGGUAACGGCCCACCAAGGCAAUGAUGGGUAGCCGGCCUGAGAGGGUGAACGGCCACAAGGGGACUGAGACACGGCCCUUACUCCUACGGGAGGCAGCAGUGGGGAAUAUUGGACAAUGGACCACAAGUCUGAUCCAGCAAUUCUGUGUGCACGAUGACGUUUUUCGGAAUGUAAAGUGCUUUCAGUCGGGAAGAAGUCAGUGACGGUACCGACAGAAGAAGCGACGGCUAAAUACGUGCCAGCAGCCGCGGUAAUACGUAUGUCGCAAGCGUUAUCCGGAUUUAUUGGGCGUAAAGCGCGUCUAGGCGGCAAGGAAAGUCUGAUGUGAAAAUGCGGAGCUCAACUCCGUAUGGCGUUGGAAACUGCCUUACUAGAGUACUGGAGAGGUAGGUGGAACUACAAGUGUAGAGGUGAAAUUCGUAGAUAUUUGUAGGAAUGCCGAUGGGGAAGCCAGCCUACUGGACAGAUACUGACGCUAAAGCGCGAAAGCGUGGGUAGC